CCUGGUGGAAUUGACAGAUGUCUGGGCAAAGCACCAGGCUGGCUGGGAAAAGGAAGCUGGGUAAGGCCCGCCAUGGUCUCAGGAAAUCCACUGUUAAAGAAAGUGGCCAUAAAGGCAUGGGCAGUGGGAACUGUGGGCUUUAAAAUGCACUUAGCAUGGAUUUCAUAGGCCAAAACAAUGCCUUGGGUGAAUAAAUUAUACAGCAGAAUGAGGUCUACUUGGCUGAUCCAGGGGAAAAAGGGAAAACUAGCAGCAUGUGUGUAAGUAGCUGUUAAGUCACGGGGCUGAAGAGCCUGGGCCACUGGAAUCAGGUGCCACCAGUGCAGGAAGCAAGGGUGUGGAUGGGUUGGUUCAAGGGAUUCGGGCAGGCAGUUAUGCUUUCACAGGUCAGACCAAGAUUCCAUGGUGGGUGAGCAAACUCAGGAGCUAAACAAGGCCUUCUUGGGAAGGGCGGGUGGGGUGUUGUGGGAUUAGGAACACCUAAUGGGCUAGGGCUGGGUGUACUUGGGGCAGUGGCACUAAGGCAGAGGCAUGGGCAUUGGAAGGAGCGUCCACUAGUAGCAGGUUUUAGGGAGCAUUCUGAUCUUCUCAGAGGGUUUUGUUUAGGAAGUUAUGCAUGCAGCAGUCAGCUGCACAAUCUGGCUGGGCAGUGUAGUUAGGAGGUACAGAAAGCCUGGUAUGGUAGGAAGGUCAGAGUUUUGUACCAAUAUUAAUCUUAGUUAUGUCACACCAGACAGGUAGUGUCUAGGUAUGAGACCAUUAGGUGCUGCAGAUGUGACUACUGCAGGUGGGGAUACAAAGGGCAGUUCAUUAGUCAUAUUCCCACCGGGAUAAACAAUUCUGUGGGACAAAUGUCUUCAGCCAGGGCUCCCAAAGGCUGCUGAGCCUGUAUCAGAAUGAGCAUCUUCAAAAGCUGAAGAAAACCUGGUUCAUAAGGGCAAUGAUCUUGGCACAUAGGCCCUAAUGGCAGGGACACUAGGGUGGACGAUUCACCAGACAGGGUACUAUGGAGUAGCUGCCUUAUGACAGCACUCUUAUUCACCAGCCAGGCAGUUAACUGUGGACUUACCAGGCAGAAACUUUAACCUGGGGAGAUAUAUCAAGGGUUAAGUAAGCACAGUGCAAAAUGAGGUUAAAAGGGAAAGCAUGAAGCCAGGUACCAACAUGCAGAGUGUUUAGCCAAGGUGUGUAUGGGAAUGGGGAGUGAUAGGGCAGGUGUAGGACAGGCGUGGUCCAUGAGACUAGUUGAGGGCGGUCAACCAGUCUCCUAACUAUGAAUUAUUUAGGCCAGAGACUUUCAACUUGGUGAGAAUAAGGAGCAAAUUAAGGCCUGGAGGCAAUUGGCAGAUGUUAGGUCAAAUCAUCACACUAAGUGUGGAAAGACAGGUGGGUAAGGCCCUGGGUCUCCUGGAAUGUGCUUUUAGGGAAAGUGGUACUUAAGGCAUGGGCAGUAGGUAGUGAGGACUUUGGCAAAUCCAUUCCACUUGCAUCAUGCAGCUGAAGAUGGUGUAUUAUAUGAAGAAAAUCUCUGACUAAGUUAUGGCUGUUUGGUAAAGCCAGGGGAUAAAGCCAAAGGGCAACACCAGAUAUAUAGGUAACUCAGCAAGGUAUGGGGUGUAAGGGCCUAGGCCUUUGGAAGCAGGGGCCCCUUGGGGCAGGAAGUGAGGGAGCAGCUGGAUUGGUGCAGAGGGAUUCAGAGGGAUUCGGGCAGGCAGUUAUGCAUGGACUCCUCAGAUCUACACUGCAUAGCUGGUGUGCAAUGUCAGGAGCUAAAGCAGGCCUGCAAAGGGAUGCCAGGGAUUCAGCCCAAAACAUAAAGCCAGGUAUGUGACAAUAUGUGGGUAGAAAAGAGGCAUGAGGACAUGAGGAACUACAAGUGUGGGUACUCAGGGCAGGGGCACAAGGGGUAGGGAGCCAGGGCUGGGCUCCCUGUGUGCAACAGUCUUCUGGAGCAGGUGGAUUGGGAGGGGCUUUCUGAAAAGGUGUUGACCCUGGAUCCUGCAGUCCACAUUUUACACUGGGUGAGCAGUCAAGUAAGUGACUAAGGUGCAGAGGGAAAGGCCACACGGGAAGCCCAAAGCAUAAAGCCAGUGGCAUAUGGGAGGUUGGUAAGGCAGCCAGGGUAGUGGCCAGUCUGGGAGGGGACAGUGUGCCAGGGCACCCUCAGGACAAGGGGACUCCAGCAUGAUGUAUAGGAGCAGCUGGAGGAGGCCAGGUGCCUUAGGUCAGGCACUUCACCAUGAAAUAAUGAGGUGAAGGUUUGAGUGAGGUGAGCAUAUUCAAGGGCCAAAGAAGCUCUGGUGCCUAACAUGAAGCCAGGUGUUUAAAGGAAGGUAGGUAAGGCAUGGCUCUGAGGGCAGGAGGAGCUCAGAGAAGGGCCAAUUUGGACAUGGUGCUGGAGGAAGAGGGCAUGUACAGGUGGUUUGGCCCAGGGUCAACACCCACAGUCAUUAGGCUUGGAUCAUUUAGGCUGAGUCCUUAAUGAAUAGGGUCAGGAAGAAAGUAAACCUGGUAGCUAAAGCUAGGUUUUAGGUUAAAAACCUCAAGGUAAGGCUGGAUGGAUAAAGUUAGCAGGGAAAGUCCAGGUAGUAAGGGGAUGGGCAAAGCUGUGUGGGUAAAACUCGAGUCCAGCUGAGUCAGGACAGGAGGGUGAUGAGGUCAGGUGGGUGUGGGUAGCAGGUCAAGGCUCAAUCCAUAGGAAGGCGGGAGUAAGCAGUCAGGAGUUACAGCCAGGUAGUUCCAGGACAGUGAGUUCAGGCCGUCAUGGCUGGAGCUUGAGAGAUGUGAGUGAAACCUAAGCAGUCACAGCUCAGAGCAGCGUGUCCUCUGCCCAGCUCCCUCGCGUUAACCUUCGGUCUCCCCCAGUUGUCCUGACACAGGAAGAGCUCCCAGCAGAGCACAGGAUGUACUCCAGGUCCCCUUAGUGCCCUCUGUGUCAUCCCCUUCACGGUCCAGUGGAGUGAGGCGGGACACAGCCACCUCACUGGGGCUGCAGCAGCGGUCAGGACGGCUCCCCUUCUCACCUGCUCGCUUGUUCAGAGUCAAGGUCACGCUGUCCCCAGGUCUUCAGGAGUCACUGAUGCUCCUGGCUCUCUGGGGCGAGCCUCACUUUGUAACUUGCGCAGGGUGGCUCUCAGGAGUGAGGUCGCCAGGGACUUCCUUGUGUACAGUGCUCCAUCACCGCUAGAAGGAAUGGAGGAAGAGACUUGGGAAAAUGCUCAGGGCCAGGGUCUGCAGGUGGAGGCCUCGGCUACCUGUGGUGGAAAAUGGCUUUCUCUUGGUCGUGGAGAGGGGCUGGGGUGGGGGCUGCGCCUCUGCCAGCAGCAGCAGGGCCCAGAGGAAGACGGGGUGGCUCAGGGUCUGCUUUCUGCCCAUGCUGAAUCCCACCUCAGUGGAACUCCAGCAGCACGGGCCCUGUGACAGAAGGACAGGGGCUGGGAUGUGGGCCACUCAAAUGGCCCACGACAGAGAAAUCAUGGAAGUCCUCUUUGGUGAUCAAAAAUAGAGUGAAUGCUGCUGCUGCGAGCCACCCAGUGGAAAGGCAGACUGGAACAUGAUGGUGUGUCCUCGUCCACCUUGUCCACCAGAUCGGGCAACAUGUGACACUGGCUCUUCCCAAAGACAAAACGACCGUGAAAGAAACAUUUUGAAUCCAUCCAGGACAUGGAGGCAGCCAUGGCUGCACAGCUAAAGGCACUCACAGAAGAGGAUUCCAGAAGUGCUUCAGACAGCGGCAAGAGUGAUGUCAAGUGAGGACUGUGGGGGGCAGUGGUCAUGUGCCUUUUACUGUAACGCAGUUUUAAAUUGAAGCAUUCACCAUAGUUUGUCACACCUCACAUCCUCAUGUUUAUAAUCCGCACCAUGUCAUUCCCCACCAAGAUCCCUUUGUUCUACAUACCAACACAGGCAGUGCAACAGGAACGCAAAUUGCUUUCUGCCAGCUGGAAAGCUCCUGGCAUCCUGAGGCCCAGUGCCCAUGCUGCACCAUCCACCUGUGCGUGGGAACCUUCAUCCCCAGUGCCCUCACCUCACAUGUCCAGUUGCAGGGCCAGUUGGCCCCAGAUGUUGCUCAGCUCACAUCCUAUCAUCUCCAUGCUCAGGUCCAGCUAUGAUGCGAACCUGGCAACCCCAAGCCAAGAAAUCUCAUGAGCGUAUCAGAGACCACUCCGGGAGCCACUGUCCCUUUGCUUUGCUUUGGGAGGGGAGACGUCCCUCCUGGCUCAGGGGCUGUGUCUCAGGCCGCCCCAGCUUGGCCCCCAGCACAACCCUCUCUUUAGAAGUUUCUCUUCUUCAUCUCACCCACAUGCUCCUUGAAGUCCUUGGGUCACCUGCCCAGGAGAGGCCAACCUGACCUCAGGAAAGUCUCCUAGGGGAUGUCAAGUCCAGCGGUAGUUGAAAACGAUAGGGCCCAAGAAGUAAAGGCAGCUGGUUGGCAAUGAAAUAAGAGAAUAGCCAGACAUGGUGGCAAAUCCACAGACAAGCACCAGUCUUGACAGUAGCCAGGCAGGGCAGCACACACUUGUGAUCCCAGCAUUCUGGGAGGCUGAGCAGGAGGAUCAUAAAUUCAAGCCUUGCC
rnacentral:lncRNA from 1 species